AUUGAACGCUGGCGGCAUGCUUUACACAUGCAAGUCGAACGGUAACAGGCCGCAAGGUGCUGACGAGUGGCGAACGGGUGGGUAAUGCAUCGGAACGUGCCCAGUCGUGGGGGAUAACUACUCGAAAGAGUAGCUAAUACCGCAUACGAUCUAUGGAUGAAAGCGGGGGACCGUAAGGCCUCGCGCGAUUGGAGCGGCCGAUGUCAGAUUAGGGAGUUGGUGGGGUAAAGGCUCACCAAGCCAACGAUCUGUAGCUGGUCUGAGAGGACGACCAGCCACACUGGGACUGAGACACGGCCCAGACUCCUACGGGAGGCAGCAGUGGGGAAUUUUGGACAAUGGGCGCAAGCCUGAUCCAGCAAUGCCGCGUGCAGGAAGAAGGCCUUCGGGUUGUAAACUGCUUUUGUACGGAACGAAACGGCUCUGGUUAAUACCCGGGGCUAAUGACGGUACCGUAAGAAUAAGCACCGGCUAACUACGUG
rnacentral:rRNA from 1 species